UACGUAGGGACCGAGCGUUGUCCGGAUUCAUUGGGCGUAAAGAGCUCGUAGGCGGCUGUUCAAGUCGAACGUGAAAACUCGGAGCUCAACUCCGAGCCUGCGUUCGAUACUGGACGGCUAGAGUCUGGUAGGGGGAUCUGGAAUUCCUGGUGUAGCGGUGGAAUGCGUAGAGAUCCGGAAGAACACCGGAGGCGAAGGCGGCUUGCUGGGCGUGAUCUGACGCUGAGGCGCGAAAGCGUGGGGAGCGAACAGG
rnacentral:rRNA from 1 species